rnacentral:misc_RNA from 1 species
GGAUGGAUCAUUAUAUUCAAUUGUUGUUUUUAACAAAUAAUAAUAAUCUCUUUCACUAUUUUUUUUAGGGGAAGAGAUUAUUUAAAACCUGUGAAUUUCAUAAAGUCUAAAAAUUAUUUUUAACCUUUAAUAAUUUUUUUGUCUUAUACUAAAUAAAAUAUAAUUUUUAUUUUUCAUUGUUUUUUGUUGAUCGUUUGAAUGGGGUGCUCUUUUGCAUCGUAAAACUUUCGAUUGUAAAACACAAAAACAUACAAAAUAAGAUUAUUUUUAAAAAAAAAUCUAUUACAAUUUAUAGCGGUGGAUGUCUCGGCUAUCUCAUCGAUGAAGAGCGCAGCAAAGAGCGAUAUUUAUUGUGAAUUGCAGAAUUACGCGAAUCAUCAAAAUCUUGAACGCAACCUGCACCUAGGGGUAACCCUCCUAGGUACACUUGUUUGAGUGUCGAUUAAAAAUAUAAUCUUUUUCUUUUUUAAGAAAGAAAGAGGAAUUUGAUAGUGGGGAUGUUUAUCAUCUCCUCUAUUUAAAAAUAUGUACAAAGCGAAUUGAAAAAACUUGGUUUCAAAAACACUUUGUCAAACGUGAAAGUUUUUAUUAAAAACUUAACCCAUUUGACUCGGUUACCCAAGAACUCUUUCAAUCCAUUUCUGUAAAAAAGUUCAAAAGUGAUCUGUUAAUGAGAGUCACUCAAUAAAAUAAUCUCUUAACUUCUAAAAACACUCUUCGACCUCAAAUCAAGUGUGACUACGCGCUGAAUUUAAGCAUAUAAAUAAGCGCAGGAAAAGAAACUAACCAGGAUUCCCUCAGUAAAUGCGAUUGAAACGGGAAAAGCUCAGACCGAAUCUAGUGUCUUUUUUAAAGUCACUCGAAAUGUAGUCUUUGAACUAUCUUCCGGAUUUAUUGAAUUACCAAGUCAACUGGAAUGUUACGCCAUAGAGGGUGAUAGCCCCGUAGGUUUUUCUUUAAUAAAUCCAUUCGUGUUGAUACGUUCUAGAGUCGGACUAUUUGGGAGUAUAGUCCUAAGUGGGAGGUAAAUUCCUUCUAAAGCUAAAUAUUUGGAGAUAGACCGAUAGCGAACAAGUACCGUGAGGGAAAGAUGCAAAGAACUCUGAAAAGAGAGUUAAAAGUACCUGAAACCGAUAUAAAGGAAACGAUCCUUACCACAUUGAAAAAAUGAUGAAUGAUUCGAGUGAGAGUGAGGGAGUUUAUUUGUUAAAGUUUUUGGAGUGUAUUUUAGGAUAUACCCCUUUGAUGAAUUGAUUUUUUUACUCUUUCUUUAUUUCAUUCAAAGUUAUCAUCAAUAUGUAUGGAAGGUGAAUUAGAAAGAAUUAAAGGUAGGUAACUGGAGAGAUUCAGUGAAUACUUUAAUUUCUAAUAUAAUUUGCCUCAUCUAUAGAGGAAACAAUAAAACGCUUGCGAAGUAGUUGAGUUUACGAGAGAUUGAUGUUAUUAGUUACUACAUGUAGUUUCUAAUUCAUCAUUUUUUCACCAAAUUCAUCUCUUUCAGUUUUUAUUCAUGAUAUUGAAUUGGUGGUACUGAUCGACCCGUCUUGAAACACGGACCAAGGAGUCUAACGUAUGUGCAAGUCAAUGGGUGAUAAACCUAAUGGCGUAAUGAAAGUAAAAAAACAUUUAAGAUGGGAUACUCUUUAAAAAAGUUGCACCAUCAACCGAUCCAAUUUCUCAUCGAGAAUAGAUUUGAGUUUUAGCAUAUCCGUUAGGACCCGAAAGAUGGUGAACUAUGCUUGCAUAGGGUGAAGUCAGAAGAAAUUCUGAUGGAGGCUCGUAGCGAUACUGACGUGCAAAUCGUUCGUCAAAUGUGGGUAUAGCGGCGAAAGACUAAUCGAACCGUCUAGUAGCUGGUUUCCGC